UUUAAGAUUUUGAUGUACCCAAUUUAACACUCGCGGUAAACGAAUAAGAAUUCGUAAAUAUCAAGGGUGCAUGAAGUUGAAUCACAAAGCAAUAUAUCUUUUUAAGUACGCACUAGUUUAUUUAUCUGACAAUGGCUGUCGAACCAAAUCAACAGCUUACGUUAGAUAACCAACAACAGAAAGAUUUCGUCAGUUCUUUUAAGUCGCUACCAGAGGUUUGAUCUGUGUGUGUUUUAUUGCAUACAUAACUGUGGUGUCUGAUGAGCAGCCUGGAAUUUGGCAGCACUGGGUAAUGGAGAGAGGCAUCCCGACAAAAUUAUUUGCCCCAGGGUCCUCAGUCACUUUCAAUAGUGCUGUAUGUUAAGGGUACACAUAUCUUCAAAAAAUUAGCUGAUUUUUCUGGUCACUACUAGAAACUUUAGGAACUAUAGCCUUUAUGAGUAUGGUACAAUAUUUGUGCUUAUUUAUAGGUAGAUCAUUUCAUUGCAUCCAUUAGACAUUUUUUGAUUUGUAUAAAGAUAUUGGACAAGUCAUGUUAUACAAAAAUGCAGGGUGUGCAUAAAAGAAUGACCCAGCUUCAAUGGAAUAUUACAACAGUUUAAUUUAAACUAUUUAUGACAUAUGAUACAUCAAAUUGAAGGUAAUCUAACCUAGUUUUCUUACAAAUGGUCAUUUCGUGCAAUUUUAGUUGUACGUCACUCGUCCAACCUAAGUCCAAUUCUUUCCACAUUUAGGGUAUCAAGUCCAAAGUAAGGGAAGCAAUGGCCUAUUCAGUUCUGUGUCUCAACUCUGGCAAAUCAUUAGGUAGCGGCGGAAUGUAGAAACUAUCAUUUAUAAAGCCCCAAGGAAAAAAAAAAUUGCAUGGCUUUAACGUCAGGUGAAUGUGGAGGCCAGCUAAAAAGAGCUCCGUCGUCUCGACCACUACAAACAAUCCAACGGUCAGAGACUUGGACGUUCAACCACUCGUACAAAGAGAUUACAAUGGGGAGGGUCUCCAUCCUGUCGCCAAAUAAAGUCUACAGGUUCACCCUCCACUAAUUACGCUCAGGAGUUGCUAUUUUGCGUAGGUGGUGCUGCGAGCAAGAAAAAAGCGAAGCAGUACUCGUGUGCAGACACUUAACUAAAACUGUUUGAGUUGCUCUUUAAUUGUGACCUUGAAUCAACACCCUAUUACUCUCACAGUUGAUACUAUUAAAAUUUAUAACUGGGAAAUUCUUUUGUGCACAGGUAUUUAUUAUUUAUUAGGCUAAGUAUUGUGUAUCAUGUUUCAAGAACUAUUCAAUCAACCUUCUAGUUUAAAAAUCUUUUUCAAGCUUAUCUCUAGAAGAAACAAAAGGAAAAAAAAAUUAAGUAUUAUAAUAGUAAAGACGUUUGUAUUCAUGUUUACUGCACAAAUACACCGCUAACAAUAUCAAAUUGUCUACUAAAGAAAAUCAUGUAAAAAUAUAUUAAAACUGCUACUGCAAUGAUGAUAAUAUUUUAGGUUUAUUUUUAUUGAACUUAAAGUAAAAUGUUGUUCAAAAUAGUCAUCACUAUUUUUUUAGAGUACAAGAAUAUUGUUUACUAGUCAUUAGUACCUAUGCACUGUAGACAUGCAUUCAACAAAAUCUCUUUGCAGGCUUAAAAUGUUUUCAUAAAAAAACUGUUCAAAGGAAACUUUAUUCAUGCAAAGUCAGAAUUUUUUUAACUUAUGUGUCUUAAGUUACUGAUACAUUGAUACCAUUGUACAUAUUUUGCAAUUUAACAAAUACAGUGAAGUCACUGUAUUGAAUGCAAAUUUUUUCUCAUUUGUUUUUCGUCACAAAUAAAAAGUCUUUUUUUAAAUUAAUAUUUUAAAUAUUAUUUAUCCACACGGCAACAUUUCAAAAUAAAGUUUUGAAACAUAUUUCUCUGAAAUUUGUAGAACAUUAAUAGUUUGAAAUUUGAUAAUAAAUAAUUAACCAUCUUUUUAGAAGGGUUAUAUACUUUUUAAAAAAGUUUAACUAGCUAAACGUGAAUUGCUUGAAUUUGUAUAAAUUAGAAUUUUGAUACUUUCACCUAGCCUUGUAUUGCAUUUUUUGCUUUAUUUAUUGCAGAACCUAUUUUUUCUUUUGUGGUAUCGUAGGCAGAACUGAUGCUUGACCCAACUUUUUUCCACCAAGGUUUUGGUGUAGUUGUAAUAAUCCCAAUAUCACGUUGCUGCGGUAGCACAGA